AUUGAACGCUGGCGGCAGGCUUAACACAUGCAAGUCGAACGAGUGGCGGACGGGUGAGUAAUGGCUGGGAAACUGCCUUAUGGAGGGGGAUAACUACUGGAAACUGUAGCUAAUACCGCAUACCAUCAGAUGUGCCCAGGUGGGCUUAGCUAGUUGGUGGGGUAAAGGCUCACCAAGGCGACGAUCCCUAGCUGGUCUGAGAGGAUGACCAGCAACACUGGAACUGAGAAACGGCCCAGACUCCUACGGGAGGCAGCAGUGGGGAAGAUGGCACAAUGGGCGCAAGCCUGAUGCAGCCAUGCCGCGUGAAUGAAGAAGGCCUUCGGGUUGUAAAGUACUUUCAGUAGGGAGGCGUUACCCACAGAAGAAGCACCGGCUAACUCCGUGCCAGCAGCCGCGGUAAUAC
rnacentral:rRNA from 1 species